rnacentral:rRNA from 1 species
UACGUAGGUGGCAAGCGUUGUCCGGAUUUACUGGGCGUAAAGAGCGCGCAGGCGGUCGUGCAAGUCGCGUGUGAAAGCCCCCGGCUCAACUGGGGAGGGUCACGCGAUACUGCUCGACUCGAAGGCAGGAGAGGGAAGUGGAAUUCCCGGUGUAGUGGUGAAAUGCGUAGAUAUCGGGAGGAACACCAGUGGCGUAGGCGACUUCCUGGCCUGUUCUUGACGCUGAGGCGCGAAAGCUAGGGUAGCAAACGGG